rnacentral:rRNA from 1 species
AGAACGAACGCUGGCGGCAUGCCUAAUACAUGCAAGUCGAACGAACUCUUCGGAGUUAGUGGCGCACGGGUGCGUAACGCGUGGGAAUCUGCCCUUGGGUUCGGAAUAACAGUUGGAAACGACUGCUAAUACCGGAUGAUGACGAAAGUCCAAAGAUUUAUCGCCCAGGGAUGAGCCCGCGUAGGAUUAGCUAGUUGGUGAGGUAAAGGCUCACCAAGGCGACGAUCCUUAGCUGGUCUGAGAGGAUGAUCAGCCACACUGGGACUGAGACACGGCCCAGACUCCUACGGGGGCAGCAGUGGGGAAUAUUGGACAAUGGGCGAAAGCCUGAUCCAGCCAUGCCGCGUGUGUGAAGAAGGUCUUCGGAUUGUAAAGCACUUUAAGUUGGGA